ACGGGAUAUAUAAAAUAUUAAAAAGUGAAUGAUGAAAUAUAGCAAGUACUACAAAAAUAAAAGAAAAAAGUAGCAUAAUAAAACAUUUUUACCCUCUUAUAUAUAAUAAAAUUACACUUUUGUUAUUGAAAUUAUAAGAAAAAUUAGUAUUAUAUCUCUCUUAACUACCGAUGCCCAUGACCUUGUCCUCCAGCCUGUGACCCUGGUGCUGAGUCUCGUGGAAGGGCCUGAAGAUGAAGCUCAUAUGCCCUUGACUGCUCAUGAUUUAUUAAUAAUGGCCUGCAAUCUACUCCAUAUUGUGGAUAAGUGGCAAAAAUUAUGAGCAAGAUUAGCAAAAGCUGUGAAACUAUGAAGAGGAUCUUGAUGCAAGAGAAAGCCAUUUAUGUAGUUCCUUUGGUGAAACUAACACGGUUAUUCUAAUUCUAAUAUAAUGAAUAUCGAAUUAUUUUGCUUUUAGAUAUUCUUUGGUAAGAGAUAGAAGUAGAAU
rnacentral:lncRNA from 1 species